rnacentral:rRNA from 1 species
AACGUAGGAGACGAACGUUAUCCGGAGUUACUGGGCGUAAAGGGCGUGCAGGCGGUCUGAUAAGUUCGGCGUGAAAUAUUCGGGCUUAACCGGGAUAGGUCGUCGGAGACUGUCGGACUAGAGGGCGAUAGAGGCGUGUGGAAUUCCGGGUGUAGUGGUGAAAUGCGUAGAGAUCCGGAGGAACACCAGUGGCGAAGGCGACACGCUGGGUCGCACCUGACGCUAAAACGCGACAGCAUGGGGAGCGAACGGG